CUACAGUAGACUAACUGUCGUCAACAUCUACUACAAGAUCUCGAUGAGAUUAUAUUUAUGUGUCAAUCAGACUUCAGCAGCUUCACUGCGAGCAAUCGUACUAUUGCAGAUCAAAAGAUCAUUAACACAACUACAGCAUCGAGACCAUCACUGAUGAUCGAGUAGAAAUCUAAGUGAUCUCUCAUAUGGUCACACUCAGUACUAGUUGUUCUUUAAUAACUAUCUGCACUCGUCGCUC
rnacentral:lncRNA from 1 species